rnacentral:rRNA from 1 species
GAUGAACGCUGGCGGCGUGCCUAAUACAUGCAAGUCGAGCGAACAGACGAGGAGCUUGUUCCUCUGACGUUAGCGGCGGACGGGUGAGUAACACGUGGAUAACCUACUUAUAUGACUGGGAUAACUUCGGGAAACCGGAGCUAAUACCGGAUAAUAUAUUGAACCGCAUGGUUCAUUAGUGAAAGACGGUUUUGCUGUCACUUAUAGAUGGAUCCGCGCCGCAUUAGCUAGUUGGUAAGGUAACGGCAUAGCAAGGCAACGAUGCGUAGCCGACCUGAGAGAAUGAUCGCCCACACUGGAACGGAGCCACGGUCCAGACUCCUGAGAGACGGAGCAGUAGGGAAUCUUCGGCAAUGGGCGAGAGCCUGACACAGCAACGCCGAGUGUGUGAUGAAGGUCUUCGGAUCGUAAAACUCUGUUAUUAGGGAAGAACAAAUGUGUAAGUAACUAUGGACGUCUUGACGGUACCUGGUCAGAAAGCCACGGCUAACUACGUG